GACUGUACCAUGCAGCUGAUAUUGCAAAAGUUACCUCUAGCCAAUAACCUGUUUCUGCUUGGUCCCUCAGCAUUGCAAUCUACCUCUGAAAUAUGGAUGAAGAUGAUGAUGAAGAUCCUGAAAUUGUUCUAACAGAGGUUUAUAGACAAGUUGCUCCAGGAUCAGUCUUGAGCUCCUUGGCUCAGCAUCAGCAUGACAAUACCCUGGUAAGACACCUGAAGAGUCUGUGCUGACCAGGCAGGCAUCACACGUGGUGGGGGUGGAGGAAUGGUGGAGCUGGGAGCAGAGCAGAGCUGCAGAGCGUGGGAACUGCUGAGACUGCACAUCCACCACAGCCACCGACACCGCCAACACCACCAACCUGACCAACCCGACGUUGGACUUGACACCCUUCUUUUCUUCAGGAUUUUGUACUUUUUCACAAUCAUGCCUUACUCUUGAACUGUUUAGCUACCAAUACAUCACUAUGUUAACAGCCCUACCUCAGCCUGUAAUUUUACCUCUCCUCUGUCUCACAGUUCCGUCAAACGUGGUGCCAAGGUUUUGCACUUGUUUCUGGGUUAGGCAGCUGUGCUAGGGAUCUGUGGAGAGCUGGUGGGUUACAGAGAUGGCAAGUUAUGUGUUGGAGGGGCCAAGGGGAAAUUAGGUUCAGGUAUUAUGAUCACUGAGAAGGUAACAAUGAUUUUGAACUUGUAGUUUGUGCUAACAGAAAAAAACAUAGUGUUUCUCAGUCAUGGCAAUGCAGGAAUGGAACUGACACUGAGUACUGGAGAAAGUCAAUACAGGCAAGCACAAGGAGAUGUUGAAAAUAUUUACCUUAGGAUAGGCCUAUGGAAAAGAAUUCAACACCUACACACCUGUGCUUUCAACUGGCAAAUUAACUUGCUCUCAGUAAUAGAGGAAAACAAUCCUUUUAAUAAACUUUUAAGCAGAUGGUAGAUAAACAAGUAACUGCAAGACUUUUCUUGCAGGUUUCAGGAUUCUCUGGUGAUGGGCACUGUAUAGGAAAUAAUUAAAUGAUGGAGGAAAAAACAAUAAAGUUCUGUCUUUCAUUUCACAGUGGGA